rnacentral:rRNA from 1 species
GGAGAAUCUUGCACAAUGGGCGAAAGCCUGAUGCAGCAACGCCGCGUGAAGGAUGAAGGCCCUUGGGUCGUAAACUUCUGUUCUAAGGGAAGAUAAUGACGGUACCUUAGGAGCAAGUCCCGGCUAACUACGUGCCAGCAGCCGCGGUAAUACGUAGGGGGCGAGCGUUAUCCGGAAUUAUUGGGCGUAAAGAGUACGUAGGUGGUAACUUAAGCAUGUGGUUUAAGGCAAUGGCUUAACUAUUGUUCGCCGCAUGAACUGGGCUACUUGAGUGCUGGAGAGGAAAGCGGAAUUCCUAGUGUAGCGGUGAAAUGCGUAGAUAUUAGGAGGAACACCAGUGGCGAAGGCGGCUUUCUGGACAGUAACUGACACUGAGGUACGAAAGUGUGGGUAGCAAAC